rnacentral:misc_RNA from 1 species
GAUGAAGAACGUAGCGAAAUGCGAUACUUGGUGUGAAUUGCAGAAUCCCGUGAACCAUCGAGUCUUUGAACGCAAGUUGCGCCCGAAGCCAUUAGGCCGAGGGCACGCCUGCCUGGGUGUCACACGUCGUUGCCCCCCCAUCUACUCCUUCGGGAUUGCGGGGGGCGGAUGAUGGCCUCCCGUGCGCCUCGUCGCGCGGUUGGCAUAAAUGCCAAGUCCUCGGCGACGCACGCCACGACAAUCGGUGGUUGCGAAACCUCGGUUGCCCGUCGUGUGCGGUCGUCGCGCAUCGAGGGCUCGAAAAAAUUGCCGGGCUCCGGCUCGGCUUUCAACGCGACCCCAGGUCAGGCGGGGUUACCCGCUGAAUUUAAGCAUAUCAAUAAGGGAGGA